GUUGACUGAGAGCUUGGUCGCCACAGGAGGUGGCUUAGAGGGCUUUUUGCCUUUCACGACGCUGCCCUACUGGCAAAUGUAUCAUCGUAACUAGGCACCUGUGUUUAAAUGUAAUAUUUCAGGCUGACUGAAUCCUCACGAAUACUCUCCACCCAGGACAAAAACCUUAAAAAAUGGCUUCUACCAUUUCCACUCCGGUGUUCUCUAUUGCGCGUAGGGGAUUUCUAGGUGGCCGGUGAUGCUGCUUUCUAAAGAAUUGUUGGCACCUGGAUGGUAAAUCUUCAAGUUACUAUGAACGAAGAUCACAAACCAAAAAGUAACAUAGGAAAUACUAAAGACUGGAACAUUUUAUCAGAUUUUACUCGGUUUCAUAUAGAGAAAGCUAUAGGACUGUUUUGCCAGAUUCUAAAUGACAACUUUUAAAUCAGAGCCUUGAAAUCUACAGAAGUCCAGUAUAUACUGAGGUAAUUUACUUAUUCUAAUGAGCAGCAGCAAGAGACACAUCUGGUAGAUGUAAAAGACCUAAUGAAAAUUAAAAGACACAACAUUUGGAACAACUGG